CGUUAGCAGCUGCAAUUUAGCAGAUGGUUGAAAUUACAAGUUGCGAGUGUUUAGACGGUUUGAUUUUGUAAUUGAAGCGGCACAUUUCAUUGCAUAGCUGCAAAUCAAAUCCAUCAAUCAAUUAAUCAAUUAAAAGUAUAGCUGGCGUAGUAGGCUUGGCACAGUGAGUGAGCAGCAGCAGCAGCAGUUUUCAAGCAAAUACACACGUAAUAAAUAAACACUACACAUCACAUGCAUAUGCAUAUGUAGCGCUGUAUGUGUUUUGUGUGUGUGCAUGUGUGUGUGUGUAUGCAUACUUGUUGUUUGUGUGUGGUGUGAGUCAUGACGUUUCGGUAAACGGGACGGCGUAGAAAAAAAACAUAUAUUGCGUGUGUGCGGCGGUGUUUUGUUGUGAAACGAACGCGUGACUCGCCAAAAAAAAAUAUACAGCAAUUCGAUAAAUAAAUUCGCAAAGAAUCGCAGAACGCAGAAAUUAUCUCGGCAAGUACAAAGGAUCUGUGUGUGUGUGUUGUGUGUCGAGGCAGCUGCUGCGCCCCUAACAUACAUUCAUACAGGGGAACAAGCACGCACACAAGCGAAUAAGCGCAGUAACAGAGUAUUAACAGCGCUAGUGUGUGGGAGCACAACAGACAGUAGUGAGAAGCAGAAGCAAAGGAAGAGGAAGAGCAGUCACAAGCACAAGCGAGUACCGAGUGGGAGCAGCACAACAACAGCAACAACAAUAACAGUGCCACUGGGAGUAGCACUAGAAACAACAACAAAAACAGUUGUGAGAAGAGGAAGCAGAAGCAGAGAAGCAGCGCUGCCGCCGUUGCCGUCACAGUUGAAGUACGCUACGCUGUUUAGUGAAGCAACAGUCUCGCUGUCUAUUUGAAACUUCUUCAACUGCGGCCGCAACUUUCGCUGCAGCCAAACAGCAGCAGCAACAACAACGACAACAACAACAACUACAACUGCGACAACGUCAACAGUAAACAAAAUGGUCGAUCGUCUUGUCAACUCGGAACUAAACACACGACGCAUUGCGUCCGUGGAGAGCUGCUUUGGCAGCUCCGGCGUCCCCCUCGCCGUCCCCGGCCGCGUCCUCGUUGGCGAGGGCGUGCUCACGAAAAUGUGCCGCAAGCGGCCAAAGUCGCGACAGUUCUUCCUGUUCAACGACAUCCUUGUGUACGGGAACAUUGUGAUUGGGAAGAAGAAGUACAACAAGCAGCACAUCAUGCCGCUCGAGGAGGUCUCCCUGGAGUCGAUUGACGACAAUCAGCAGUAUCACAAUGGCUGGUACAUUCGGACCACGACAAAGUCGUUUGUGGUGUACGCGGCGACGAGCACCGAAAAGCAGGAAUGGAUGGCGCACAUCAACAAGUGUGUAGAGGAUUUGCUGCGCAAGAGCGGCAAGAAGCCGGUGGAGAAUCAUGCCGCUGUCUGGGUACCGGAUGCGGAGGCCAGCAUUUGCAUGCACUGCAAGAAGACGCAGUUCACGUUCGUGCAGCGUCGCCACCAUUGUCGCAACUGUGGCGCCGUCGUCUGUGCCGGCUGCUCCGCCAAGAAGUUCCUCUUGCCCAAGCAGAGCACGAAGGCGCAACGUGUCUGCGACGCUUGCUACGAUCGCUUGCGGCACACGCCGCCACACGCAGCCACCUCGAGUGCUGGUGGUCCUGGUCUUGGCGGCAGCAGCGCUCACGAUCCGGAUGCCAGCGAUCGCAGCGGCUCCAAAUUGGCCAACGACAGUUCGAACGAUGAUGACACCGAUGAGGAGACCAAUUCACCGCCAGCCGAGGCCCACGACGAGCCACGUUUCUAUGGCGACAACAGCGUCUUGUCCGCCCAGGACGAAUCCAUUGCAUCUACAACAUCGACGGGGAUAGCUGCGAUGUCGACACCUCUAGCUGCCAAUCCGAAUGCGAAUAUGAAUCCCAAUCCCAAUCCGAAUGCGACGCAGUCGCCGGUGGCCAACAAGUGCUGAGCAAGGACCAUCAGAGGUAGCUAACAGAGCGAGAGAGGAAGAUCUACACAUGUAUAUGAAGACGAACAACGCAAGCAACAAGAGCUGGAACAAAAAAAGGAAUUACGCAAAUUAACGGAAUUUAAAGCGCGUCCAAACCCUUUUAAAUAACAUAAUCAAAUCUAAUAAUAAUAAUAUAAAAUACUUCACACACUCUCACAGUAACAAAAAAAAAAACAACAACAA